UUAGAGAAGUAGGAUUCGAACCUACAACUAGAAGAUCAAAACUUCUCGUAUUUCCAUUUUACCACUCUCUA
rnacentral:tRNA from 1 species